AACGAACGCUGGCGGCAGGCCUCAAACAUGCAAGUCUAGGGGGUGCAGCAAUGCAUCACCGGCGGACGGGUGCGUAACGCGUGGGAAUAUACCUAUUGGUUCGGAACAACUGCGGGAAACUGCAGCUAAUACCGAAUGUGCCCUAACGGGGAAAGAUUUAUCGCCAAUGGAUUAGCCCGCGUAGGAUUAGCUAGUUGGNGGGGUAAUGGCUCACCAAGGCUCCGAUCCUAGCUGUUCUGAGAGGAAGAUCAGCCACACUGGGACUGAGACACGGCCCAGACUCCUACGGGAGGCAGCAGUUGGGAAUCUUGGACAAUGGGGGAAACCCUGAUCCAGCCAUGCCGCGUGAGUGAUGAAGG
rnacentral:rRNA from 1 species